rnacentral:rRNA from 1 species
AACGAGCGCUGGCGGCGCGCCUAACACAUGCAAGUCGAACGCGAAAGUGUAGCAAUACAUGAGUAAAGUGGCGCACGGGUGAGUAACGCGUAGGUGAUCUACCUUUGUGAUCGGGAUAACCAGCCGAAAGGUUGGCUAAUACUGGAUAGAGCGCAUUUAUCGUAAAGAUGAGUGCGGGAAAUGAGGGCGUAGCAAUACGCUCUUGCACUAAGAUGAGCCUGCGUCUCAUUAGCUAGUUGGUAGGGUAAAGGCCUACCAAGGCAUUGAUGGGUAGCUGGUCUGAGAGGACGAUCAGCCACACUGGAACUGAAACACGGUCCAGACUCCUACGGGAGGCAGCAGUGGGGAAUCUUGCGCAAUGGACGAAAGUCUGACGCAGCGACGCCGCGUGAGUGAAGAAGGCCUUCGGG